GGGGUGGGCCGUGACUGGCGCUGAGGUGGAGCACCACCGGGGAGCGGUCUGACGAGACGUCGUUGCCGUGCGCCUGGGCAAGUGGU
rfam:Streptomyces viridochromogenes DSM 40736 genomic scaffold supercont1.1, whole genome shotgun sequence.